rnacentral:pre_miRNA from 1 species
CAGAUGACAAGUAUUGGUGAGGACCGGGUAAUCUGCAUCCUGAGGUUUAAAGCUUGAUUAUACGCAUAACAUGCCGACGCAUAUAACUAUGUGUUUUAGAAUAGCUUUUAGUCCUCGGGAUGCGGAUUACCUCUUCCUUACUAUACGUACACGGUUACAUG